rnacentral:snRNA from 1 species
AUCGCUUCUCGGCCUUUUGGCUAAGAUCAAGUGUAGUAUCUGUUCUUAUCGGUUUAAUCUGGUUCAUUCAGAUUUAUUACUGAGGCAGGUGACUAUACCAUCU